UACGGAGGGGGCUAGCGUUGUUCGGAAUUACUGGGCGUAAAGCGCACGUAGGCGGCUUUGUAAGUUAGAUGUGAAAGCCCAGGGCUCAACCCUGGAAUUGCCUUUAAGACUGCAUCGCUUGAACAUCGGAGAGGUAAGUGGAAUUCCGAGUGUAGAGGUGAAAUUCGUAGAUAUUCGGAAGAACACCAGUGGCGAAGGCGGCUUACUGGACGAUUGUUGACGCUGAGGUGCGAAAGCGUGGGGAGCAAACAGG
rnacentral:rRNA from 1 species